AAUUCUCAACCUUUCCAAUUUUUGCGAGUUUGGUUAGGCUUGGAUGUGGAGGUUGCGGGCUUCACAGAAGUCGGCUCCUCUGAAAUGCAUUAGUGAAACCUUUGUUGAUCAUCUCUUGGUGUGAUAAUUAUCUACGCCACUAGAGUGUCAGCCUCAACUAGUUGAGAGGAUUUUGCUUCUAAUCGUCCUCCAAGGACAACUUCUUUACU
rnacentral:misc_RNA from 1 species